rnacentral:tRNA from 1 species
ACUGAAAAUGCCUAGACGAUACACACUACUCCAUAAACA